rnacentral:rRNA from 1 species
UACGUAGGGGGCAAGCGUUGUCCGGAAUCAUUGGGCGUAAAGCGCGUGUAGGCGGCUCAUGAAGGCUGUGGUGAAAGUCCGGGGCUCAACCUCGGAUCGGCCGUGGCGACUCGUGGGCUGGAGCACUGUAGAGGCGGGUGGAAUUCCGGGUGUAGCGGUGGAAUGCGUAGAGAUCCGGAAGAACACCAGUGGCGAAGGCGGCCCGCUGGGCAGUGGCUGACGCUGAGGCGCGACAGCGUGGGGAGCAAACAGG